UGCUUGGGUAGCUCAGUUGGUAGAGCACUUGCCCGCAAAGGCAAAGGUCCCGAGUUCGAGUCUCGGUCCGGCAA
rnacentral:tRNA from 1 species